GGGGACAACAGCCAGAAAUGGCUGCUAAUACCGCAUAAGCCUGCUGUGCCGCAUGGCACAGCAGGGAAAACCACGGUGGUACAGGAUGGGCCCGCGUCUGAUUAGUUAGUUGGCAGGGUAACGGCCUACCAAGACAACGAUCAGUAGCCGGCUUGAGAGAGUGGACGGCCACAUUGGGACUGAGACACGGCCCAGACUCCUGUGGGAGGCAGCAGUGGGGAAUAUUGCACAAUGGGGGGAACCCUGAUGCAGCAAUGCCGCGUGGGUGAAGAAGCACUCCGGUGCGUAAAGCCCUGUCAGCAGGGAAGAAAAUGACAGUACCUGGACAAGAAGCCCCGGCUAACUACGUGCCAGCAGCCGCGGUAAUACGUAGGGGGCAAGCGUUAUCCGGAUUUACUGGGUGUAAAGGGAGCGCAGGCGGCGUGGCAAGUCAGAUGUGAAAACCCGGGGCCCAACCCCGGGAGUGCAUUUGAAACUGCCAUGCUGGAGUGCCGGAGAGGUAAGCGGAAUUCCUAGUGUAGCGGUGAAAUGCGUAGAUAUUAGGAGGAACACCAGUGGCGGAGGCGGCUUACUGGACGGUAACUGACGCUGAGGCUCGAAAGCGUGGGGAGCAAACAGGAUUAGAUACCCUGGUAGUCCACGCCGUAAACGAUGAA
rnacentral:rRNA from 1 species